CUGGCGGCGUGCCUAAUACAUGCAAGUCGAGCGAAUGGAUUGAGAGCUUGCUCUCAAGAAGUUAGCGGCGGACGGGUGAGUAACACGUGGGUAACCUGCCCAUAAGACUGGGAUAACUCCGGGAAACCGGGGCUAAUACCGGAUAACAUUUUGAACUGCAUGGUUCGAAAUUGAAAGGCGGCUUCGGCUGUCACUUAUGGAUGGACCCGCGUCGCAUUAGCUAGUUGGUGAGGUAACGGCUCACCAAGGCAACGAUGCGUAGCCGACCUGAGAGGGUGAUCGGCCACACUGGGACUGAGACACGGCCCAGACUCCUACGGGAGGCAGCAGUAGGGAAUCUUCCGCAAUGGACGAAAGUCUGACGGAGCAACGCCGCGUGAGUGAUGAAGGCUUUCGGGUCGUAAAACUCUGUUGUUAGGGAAGAACAAGUGCUAGUUGAAUAAGCUGGCACCUUGACGGUACCUAACCAGAAAGCCACGG
rnacentral:rRNA from 1 species